UGGGGAAUAUUGGACAAUGGGGGCAACCCUGAUCCAGCAAUGCCGCGUGUGUGAAGAAGGUUUUCGGAUUGUAAAGCACUUUCGGCGGGGACGAUGAUGACGGUACCCGCAGAAGAAGCCCCGGCUAACUUCGUGCCAGCAGCCGCGGUAAUACGAAGGGGGCUAGCGUUGCUCGGAAUGACUGGGCGUAAAGGGCGUGUAGGCGGUUUGUACAGUCAGAUGUGAAAUCCCCGGGCUUAACCUGGGAGCUGCAUUUGAGACGUGCAGACUAGAGUGUGAGAGAGGGUUGUGGAGUUCCCAGUGUAGAGGUGAAAUUCGUAGAUAUUGGGAAGAACACCGGUGGCGAAGGCGGCAACCUGGCUCAUUACUGACGCUGAGGCGCGAAAGC
rnacentral:rRNA from 1 species